UACGAAGGGGGCUAGCGUUGCUCGGAAUUACUGGGCGUAAAGCGCACGUAGGCGGUCUUUUAAGUCGGGGGUGAAAUCCUGGAGCUCAACUCCAGAACUGCCUUCGAUACUGGAAGACUUGAGUCCGGGAGAGGUGAGUGGAACUGCGAGUGUAGAGGUGAAAUUCGUAGAUAUUCGCAAGAACACCGGUGGCGAAGGCGGCUCACUGGCCCGGAACUGACGCUGAGGCACGAAAGCGUGGGGAGCAAACAGG
rnacentral:rRNA from 1 species